rnacentral:rRNA from 1 species
ACUGCUCAGUAACACGUGGACAACCUGCCCUUAGGUUGGGUAUAAACCCGGGAAACUGGGUAUAAUACCCGAUAGGUCUCGAUUGCUGGAAUGCAUCGAGAUUUAAAGCUCCGGCGCCUAAGGAUGGGUCUGCGGCCUAUCAGGUAGUAGUGGGUGUAGCGUACCUACUAGCCUACGACGGGUACGGGUUGUGAGAGCAAGAGCCCGGAGAUGGAUUCUGAGACACGAAUCCAGGCCCUACGGGGUGCAGCAGGCGCGAAAACUUUACAAUGCUGGCAACAGCGAUAAGGGAACCUCGAGUGCCAGGUUACAAAUCUGGCUGUCGAGAUGCCUAAAAAGCAUUUCAUAGCAAGGGCCGGGCAAGACCGGUGCCAGCCGCCGCGGUAACACCGGCGGCUCGAGUGGUAACCGUUAUUAUUGGGUCUAAAGGGUCUGUAGCCGGCCGGAUAAGUCUCUUGAGAAAUCUGGCAGCUUAACUGUCAGGCUUUCAGGAGAUACUGUCUGGCUCGAGGCCGGGAGAGGUGAGAGGUACUUCAGGGGUAGGGGUGAAAUCUUGUAAUCCUUGAUGGACCACCAGUGGCGAAGGCGUCUCACCAGAACGGACCUGACGGCAAGGGACGAAAGCUAGGGGCACGAACCGGAUUAGAUACCCGGGUAGUCCUAGCCGUAAACGAUACUCGCUAGGUGUCGGCCACGGUGCGACCGUUGUCGGUGCCGUAGGGAAGCCGUGAAGCGAGCCACCUGGGAAGUACGGCCGCAAGGCUGAAACUUAAAGGAAUUGGCGGGGGAGCAC